AAUAUUUUUAAUUUCAUAAUCAAAUCAAUUUAGUAUAAAUUGUUUUAGCCUCUCAUACAUUGCGCUAACUAAAACACUUGUUCUCUAUUAAUAAUUAUGCCUUUGCGUUUUAAGACGCCGCCGUACUAGGCGUAUAAAUCAUUUCCCGGUAUGGAAAGAAGCCUCUCGAUAGUCGAAUAAAUUUGCACUUAAUAAAGCCGAGCCGAUUUAUCUUACGUCACGAUCUCGGGGCUGAUUGUCCGCGAGCAUCCUUGCGUUCGAAAGUUCAUCGAUCGCGAUAUUCACGGUACAAUGUGUUGUUGCGUCGCGAUAUAGGUACGGGAAAGCGCUCGCGUUUCAACCGGGAUUAGCGAGGCUGUGUAUGGGUUGUCUUUCUGAUCUUUGAUAUUCCGAUUCGUAAUAUCGAUUCGUUUGUUCGUUUAUUCUUCGUUCUCACACGAACGCACCCGUCGCGCGCGAGAAAGUUAUGGCGAGAAGGAAAUCGACAUUUCGAUACAUCGAUAUACACCAGCGACGCUUAUCCAACGGGGAAUGUCACAUCUUGCGUUGCAUACGUUGCAAAGGUGUCAGAAAGCCGAAUAAAUCCUUUUCUUUCUGUCUCUUUCGCGAUCCAAAUUUAUUUCCAUUAUUUUCAUUUCCGUAAAUGCAAUCAUUUAUUACGCGUUAUUAUCGUAUGUUUACGCGGUAAUUUUCUCUCUCUUUUUCAGUUUAUUCGUUUCAUUAAAUACAUUAAUUAUGCAUAUUCAAUAUUCAAAUGAGUAUUAAAAGUUAGGUAUUAAUUACAGUGAUCAUUAACAGCAUUUGAAUCUUCUCUAAAAUUGCCGAUAUAAUGUAGAGGCUCUUAUUGAUUGGAAAAACAAAUAAAAAUCAAUCAGAUUAAAUGUGGAUUUAUUGGAAGAUUAAUUUUUCUAACUCGAUAGCGUUUCCCUCUAAUUAUUUCGAGUUUGGAGACAAAUAUUUGGAGCAAAUAUCGAAUCACAAUCCUUUCCGAAAAGCGCUAUGGCAUGAAAUAUCGCUUUUUAUCGCAACAUUUUAUUUAAUAACCGAUUCGCCAAAACUCGAUAUUUUCGCAAACAUUCCAUUUGAUAACAAAAUGCAGUUUAAUCAUUCGAAAAUCUGCUUGUUCACUGCUUGGAAUACUCGUAAAAAUAUAUAUGGCUAUAAACCAAUUCAACGUCGCGAUGCGCAGAUCAAGCGACUUGUCGCCAUUCGGUGCAACCGGGAUGCAUUCACGUUAAUUGAAGAGCACGCUUACGCCAAUGGGACACACAUACACACAUAUGUACACUCCGCUAUAAAUAGCCGUGUUUUGCCAAGAGUUUUGCGCCUAACGCGUGUAGGCACGCGCUUGUCGCGAUUGAUUCUACCGCGCGGACACGUACGUGAAAGCGUAAAUACACUUUGGAUGCGCGUUAAAGGAGCCCUAACACGAGAUGACGUCAGCGUUGGCGGAUUGACGUCGCGUAAUUGGAAGUCAUCGAUGCUAAUGGGCCCAAGGGUCAAAGGCGAAGCGGCGACAGAGGCGAGCCAGAUCGUAGAAUUGUUCGCGUACUUAUUGUAAUCGCUCCGAGGGAGAGAAAGAGGGAGGGAUCUCUCUUGAUCGAGAAAAGUACGAUAAUACAUUCUCGAGUGUACAUACCGAGGAAAAUUAAAUACUAGACACCGCACGUAAUCAUUCCUCCGACAUGAUUGCGCCUAUAAUUUAUCUCCAAGUACCCGCGUUGGAAAGGUGAUUAUUUUGGCAUAUUUCGUUCUAGACGCAUUCUCAUUUCUCUCCUUAUAGGAGCGCACACAGUGCCAGAGAGACUUUUGUUUCUCUCGGAUGGUUAUUUAUCGAGGCGAGAGCACAAUGGUGGAUACGCGGGCGUUUCGCCAUUUAGAUCCGCGCCGUGAUUUAGAGCGGAUCGGACGUAGAUCACAGUCGGGCGCAGAAGCGUGGUACGAUUAAUUUCGACAGGUGGUAGAGUACCUAAACACCGCAUCGCGCGCCGACGAUUUUCGAUAUAGAGCCGCCGACAAAGAGUCGAGUUAAUCGUCGGCCGCGCGAGGAUACGGUCGAUUGCUUCUCCAGCGAGUAAAUAUUUUAAAAAGUGGAUUGUGCUCGGUAAUUCGCGGUGUACACGUAUAUAUGCAUACGAGAGACGUUGUGUAUGUAUAUAUAUAUAUAUAUGCUCACAUUUUUCCGCCAGUAUAGUUUCCCCGUAGCUAUAUGUUAUAUAUAUGUGUAUGCCUAUCUGUGUCCAUGUGUACGUUUGUGUGCGGCGUACACUCGUGUUUCGUCCACGUGGAGGGUGGUAGAUCGAUUGUCCUUGCCUCUCAAGGCUGCUGCUGUACCCGGGGGUGGGUUGGAAUAGAAUUUAUAGCAUACGCCGCUGGCAUAUUAAUAGAACCGACAACAACACGUCUAGCGGCGGAGCCGCUGCCAAUCCAAUUUACACGACGCGACGUGCCAGUACGCGAAUUACAAAAAUAAGAGUCGCAUGACGACGAUGCCGCGUUGUGUCGCCGUCGAAAAAAAAAAAAAAAAACGGGAGAAAAAAAACCAGGGGUACAUUUCGUUUCCGCGUGGUCGACGUUACCGUCGAUUGUAAUUUCAACGUGGAGCAGAACGGAGGAAAAAUCAAGAGCGCAACUAUAUUAUAAACCUGUAUUGCACGCGCGAGGAAUUUACUCGUUAUCCACAACGCACAUACACACACAUGCAACAACUUCUGUACACGUGCGUAUACAUGUAUGGGAAUUAUAAUGUAUAUAUGUAUAUGCUUGGAUUAUUUUACAGACAAAGAUCGACCAUGUACAAUUAAAAUCUUAAUCGUUCACGAGACUCAUAGACAUGCACGACGCGCGACUGCUGCGGUAGCACGUCCUCGUGUGACCAUCGACUAGAAAACAGUAUGACCGAUGAUGUCACGCGAAGCACACACGCGAGGACCACGUUACGACGGUGAUUCCCAUGGGAAACACGACGGCUCCGCGAUUAUACGUAAUCGUCACUCGUUUCAUGGUCAAAGUCGUCAUUUGCGCCGCGCGCGUUUCUACCGCGGCUCCUUCCGGCGCGUUUCGCUUCUCGGCCGAGAGCUCGAGGAGUCGAUAAACAUCGCCCCCGACGCCGUCGAGAAAAUAUUGUAUGGCGCACCGGACGCGCAUAUAUGAUACUGUACCAGAACAAUUUUCUUUACAGUAUGGAUAUAGAGAUGCAGCUGCGAGAGAGAGAGAGAAGAGAGAGAGAGAGAGAAAGAUGGAUGCGGUAAAUACCGUGAGCGCUCUCGCGAGAGGUGUGUGUGUGUGUGACAGGCUGGAUCAGUACUUAGGGGACUCUAUAAUGAGACUAACUCUGGGGACUAACGUGUAGUUAUACUGUGCCAUGAAUUUUCGUACAGUAACGAAGUAUACAUACGCCACGCGACUCACUCACGCACACACCCACACACAUACGUAUAUACGUACUACCACGCGUGUGUGUCAUAUGUAGGUACGUGCUACUCUCAUCUCGCUACUACGACGUAUACAUCAUGUCCGCGACAUACGCAGAGAGAGAGAGAGAGAGAGAGAGAGAGCGCGGGUGGAGAUUACUAUGCGGGACUAUAAAUCGCGCUCGACGCGACGCGACGCUCUCGGUUCGCGCUCGUGAGCGUUUAAAAUGCAUUUUAUACAUCGCCGGAGCGCGCGGGAGACUCGCCGAUGGCUUUUCGCGUGAAUUCGUUUUGGAAAUUACGAGAUAAUUCGAGCGCGGAUCGCUGUAAUAAAACGCACGGUAAAAAAAGUGAAAAGGGAAGCUAUUUAUAAUUGGGUUAAACAAGGGGGGACUCGUUCGAUAUUGGAGAGACGGGAAAAAUGUUAUCGAUAAUUCUCAAACUCUUAAGAGAAAAAUUAACUGAUAUAUAUAUAUGUGUGUGUGAUAGAUAUUGCCGCGAACUAUACACAUUUUUUUUCGCGUCGCUCUUGGAUACAGCUGAUAGUCAAUAAUUAGUACAGCCACCAAAUGCGAUUAUUUUGCGGCGACAGCGCUGGGAAAUCGCGUUUAAUAGUCGCGGGGAAAUAAAGAAAAUCCUUGCUAUCCCGGUGGAGAAUCAUUUUCGUACAUUAUGGCGUACCAUGACGCAUUAUGAUGCAUUAUUAUGCAUCAUGACGCAUUAGGAUGCGCUAUUGCGCGUUGGUAGCGCGCUUUGUGCGGUGCGGCUAUGUGUCGGACGGUAAUGUGUGCUAAGUCUUUCAUAAAUUAUAUACUGGAUACUGCGAAAGUAUCAUUUCGCUCUGACGCUGUCGUAUAUCUAAAGGGCGUCGAGCAUGCAGAACGAUCCGUUUCAGGUUCGUAAUUAAUUUUAAGACCUAAUAUAUAUAGAUACGUACCUCAUUAUUAUACCACAUUUACAUAUAUAAGAGAAAUAUUAGAACACAGUAUAGUUGAUAAAGGAAAUAUCACAAUCGGGAAAUUAGAUCUUUCGGAGCCACGAUAAAUCGCCUUGAAAGCGACAACGCACGUGCGCUCCUUUCAUGUCUAUUAAUUCGAUAUUCUUUGCUGAUAUACAUACUUAAUAACUAGUCGGUAUUGCCGACUUCCAAGAAUUAAAAAAUGCUACAUAUAAUCAGAUUGCGGUAAUUUUGCGAGUGAUACUUAGGCGAAUUAAUAGUGAAAUGUCGUGAGUUCAAUAGCUAGGUGAUGAAAAAAAAAUUGUAUCUGAAUGCCACAGCGCGAAGAUAAAUCUAAGAUAAUUAUCAUUGUUCGACUGCAAUGCGCUUCGGUGCAUCAAGGCCGUCGAUAAUUACACAAAUUAUACCUGGUAAUCUCCGGGAAGUUAAAUACAAGAUGAUGAAAUUCAAAUGUGUAUAUGUUUGCGCGAAUAUGUAUGCUUAAUCUGAAAAAUAUCACGAGAUGACGAUAACGUCGGAGAUAGGUAAAGGCGCGAGUUUGCGAUAAAAUUGUCGCUGUGAAAAGAGAGAUAGAGAGAGAGAGGCAGAAAGGGAGACAGCAUCCUUUCUUUACUCCGACGCAACGCAUCGUAGCGCAACGCUUACCCAUGCAUACACACAGGAAAAGAAGAACAAGAUCGAGCAUACAAGGUGACUCGGAAAGAAGGGAAGUCGGUGCGCCCACCCUCCGGAAACGACGUAUAAAGCCUGAUGUUAGUGCAGACUUGCGUGCCGUCUCGAACCGCAUGUACCGGCUGCAUCAAACUGCACAUUAUUCCUCGCUACUACUGUUACGCGAUGUUGCAGCAGAAAAUCUCCCUAGAUCCGUCGCUGAUGCGGUAAGAGAGACUUUCGAGCAUCACUCAGAGGGCUCUUCUUCAGAGAAGUACCAGGACGUACACAACUGACUGUACGAGCUUCUCUUUCAUCGCGUCCUUUAGCGAACGCCAUUCCACCAACCCCUUUCAACCCCCGAGAAGAGUGGUGCUCUUAAGGGAUGGCCUACUUUCGAUACGCCUGCGAUUGCAUUUCCCGGCGCCACUCGAAGACGAUACGAAGCAUGUAUAUAACCGUGCACGAUAGAACACUUAAUAUCAAGCGACCGAACGAUAUUGUGAAACAUAGAGAACAAAACAUAUUAUCAUAAAAAAAUUACUCGAAAUAUAUAGAAAGAAAAGAGAUUGUUCGAAGCUUCUUAUUGUAAUCAAAUGUCAAAAUAGAUUUUGUUGUCAAAUAA